GACGUAGGGCGCGAGCGUUGUCCGGAUUUAUUGGGCGUAAAGAGCUCGUAGGCGGCUUGUUGCGUCAGCUGUGAAAACCCGCAGCUCAACUGUGGGCUUGCAGCUGAUACGGGCAGGCUGGAGUUCGGUAGGGGAGACUGGAAUUCCUGGUGUAGCGGUGAAAUGCGCAGAUAUCAGGAGGAACACCGGUGGCGAAGGCG
rnacentral:rRNA from 1 species